GACGAACGCUGGCGGCGUGCUUAACACAUGCAAGUCGAACGGAAAGGCCCUUCGGGGUACUCGAGUGGCGAACGGGUGAGUAACACGUGGGUGAUCUGCCCUGCACUUUGGGAUAAGCCUGGGAAACUGGGUCUAAUACCGAAUAGGACCACGCGCUUCAUGGUGUUUGGUGGAAAGCUUUUGCGGUGUGGGAUGGGCCCGCGGCCUAUCAGCUUGUUGGUGGGGUAAUGGCCUACCAAGGCGACGACGGGUAGCCGGCCUGAGAGGGUGACCGGCCACACUGGGACUGAGAUACGGCCCAGACUCCUACGGGAGGCAGCAGUGGGGAAUAUUGCACAAUGGGCGCAAGCCUGAUGCAGCGACGCCGCGUGAGGGAUGACGGCCUUCGGGUUGUAAACCUCUUUCAAUAGGGACGAAGCGCAAGUGACGGUACCCAUAGAAGAAGCACCGGCCAACUACGUG
rnacentral:rRNA from 1 species